CAAUCCAUGAGUACAGCGGCGUACGGGUGAGUAACACGUGGGUGAUCUACCUCUUAGUGGGGAAUAACCCUGGGAAACCGAGGCUAAUACCGCAUAAUAUCGAAAGAUCAAAGGAGUAAUCCGCUUUUGGAGGGGGUCGCGGCUGAUUAGCUAGUUGGUAGGGUAGUGGCCUACCAAGGCGAAGAUCGGUAUCCGGCCUGAGAGGGCGCACGGACACACUGGAACUGAAACACGGUCCAG
rnacentral:rRNA from 1 species